rnacentral:rRNA from 1 species
GUGGGGAAUCUUGCGCAAUGGGCGAAAGCCUGACGCAGCCAUGCCGCGUGGAUGAUGAAGGUCUUAGGAUUGUAAAAUCCUUUCACCGGUGAAGAUAAUGACUGUAGCCGGAGAAGAAGCCCCGGCUAACUUCGUGCCAGCAGCCGCGGUAAUACGAAGGGGGCUAGCGUUGCUCGGAUUUACUGGGCGUAAAGGGCGCGUAGGCGGACAUUUAAGUCAGGGGUGAAAUCCCGGGGCUCAACCUCGGAACUGCCUUUGAUACUGGGUGUCUUGAGUAUGAGAGAGGUGUGUGGAACUCCGAGUGUAGAGGUGAAAUUCGUAGAUAUUCGGAAGAACACCAGUGGCGAAGGCGACAUACUGGUCCAUUACUGACGCUGAGGCUCGAAAGCGUGGGGAGCAAACAGGAUUAGAAACCCCGGUAGUCC